rnacentral:rRNA from 1 species
UCCGGAAUUAUUGGGCGUAAAGAGCUCGUAGGCGGUCUGUUACGUCUGCUGUGAAAACCCAGGGCUUAACCCUGGGCUUGCAGUGGAUACGGGCAGACUAGAGGCAGGUAGGGGAGAAUGGAAUUCCCGGUGUAGCGGUGAAAUGCGCAGAUAUCGGGAGGAACACCGGUGGCGAAGGCGGUUCUCUGGGCCUGACCUGACGCUGAGGAGCGAAAGCGUGGGGAGCGAACAGG